rnacentral:lncRNA from 1 species
UACCAUAUUUUGCAUAACUUCUUAAAUUGCUGAAUGAGUAUGUGAAACUUCCUAUACUCUCUGGAAUAUAUUUUAAAAUAUUUCAAUGUUAAGAAAGCAGUUUAGGUAAUAGAAAAAUGUUAUAAGUUGGGAGAAAAAAGGUAUUUUAGUGGUAUCUAACCCUUCUAACUAAUGAAGUUAUGUGGCCAGAUUAUAUAGCCCUAUUAACGUGAAUUUUCUUUGUAGUGUGUGGAAUAAGAAGUUGAGAAAAUUUUCUUAUUAAUCAGCACCUAUACUGUAUCUAAUAGUAGCUGGGAAAAAAUGUUGAGUUACAGAAAGUUUAAUUGUGUGCAGUUAAAAUAUUUUAUUACAUAUUUCUUGAGGAACAGGAGAAAAAGAUGGCAAAUAGAGCAUAUUAAAACAAGAGCAGUGACUUAACUACCAUAUACAGAAGUAUAAUUAACAAAAUAAAAUUUGUUACCUGAUCUUUCUAAGCAUCCCUCUCCCUACCUUACUAAAGUAAACAACUUAGAUUUUUUUUCUUUGAAAAGAAGCUCUGGAAAGUAAAACUGGCAUAGGAAACAAGAUUGCCAGUGCCUCGCCAAAGAUGAUUAAAACAAAUCUCUUCAAUGAUGGACUUUAGCACUGUUUCAAAUUGCUUUCAUUAUUGUAAUAAAAGUCAAGCAAAUG